UGCCCCUCACUUGCCAAUACGUCUAGAUCAGCCAGGGCGUCGGCAUGUGUAGCGUAUUAUGUUGGGCUCUCUCGAGAUAAGGAUACGAUGUCCCUUUAUCGGUUGGUUUCCUGUGUGUGCGGCCCGUUCGUUUUUUUGUUACUUUCGCAUCGUUCGGUGCAUUCUGGGGGCUGUGUUGGCUUUUGGUGGCUUGCUUGGCCUUUUGGCUUUGCUUGUUGCUACUUGUCGGGCUGCUUUCGGGAAUGUCGACCGUGGAGGUGCAUGAGUGGUGUUUGGUUUGUUACGUGUGGAUGGCUGUUUGCUUGUGCAACAACGUUCACGCUGCAUACCUCUUCAGUUUUGCGGCAAGGCUUGGUUUGGCUUGUGCAUAUUGUGGGUUUCCUGUGUUGCAUACCUAGUUGAUGGAAAAGUGUGGGUUUUACGAUUUUCAUUUUCGUCUUGCGUCGUUCUUUUGGCGUGGGAUGAACAAUGAAGCGAUCUUUAUGAUCCAUCGUGCUGUUGCGUUUGCAACAAUGAUGUGGCCUAUGAAGCAUCGUUUGGUCUCUUGUAUACGGAAGCUCAUUUGGGCUUGGGUCUUUAUAAGAUCUUCGUUACGCCCUUGUUAAGCGUUCUCGCUUCUCCUAAACGAUUG
rnacentral:misc_RNA from 2 species